GGGUCCUUAGCUCAGCUGGGAGAGCACCUGUUUUGCACGCAGGGGGUCGAGGGUUCGAGUCCCUUAGGAUCCACCA
rnacentral:tRNA from 2 species